rnacentral:rRNA from 1 species
UACAGAGGUCUCAAGCGUUGUUCGGAUUCAUUGGGCGUAAAGGGUGCGUAGGCGGCGCGGUAAGUCGGGUGUGAAAUUUCGAGGCUCAACUUCGAAACUGCAUUCGAUACUGCCGUGCUUGAGGACUGGAGAGGAGACUGGAAUUUACGGUGUAGCGGUGAAAUGCGUAGAUAUCGUAAGGAAGACCAGUGGCGAAGGCGGGUCUCUGGACAGUUCCUGACGCUGAGGCACGAAGGUCAGGGGAGCAAACGGG